rnacentral:rRNA from 1 species
GGUCUGGGAUGGGCUCGCGGCCUAUCAGCUUGUUGGUGAGGUAAUGGCUCACCAAGGCGUCGACGGGUAGCCGGCCUGAGAGGGUGACCGGCCACACUGGGACUGAGACACGGCCCAGACUCCUACGGGAGGCAGCAGUGGGGAAUAUUGCACAAUGGGCGGAAGCCUGAUGCAGCAACGCCGCGUGAGGGAUGACGGCCUUCGGGUUGUAAACCUCUUUUAGCAGGGAAGAAGCGAGAGUGACGGUACCUGCAGAAAAAGCGCCGGCUAACUACGUGCCAGCAGCCGCGGUAAUACGUAGGGCGCAAGCGUUAUCCGGAAUUAUUGGGCGUAAAGAGCUCGUAGGCGGUUUGUCGCGUCUGCUGUGAAAUCCCGAGGCUCAACCUCGGGCCUGCAGUGGGUACGGGCAGACUAGAGUGCGGUAGGGGAGAUUGGAAUUCCUGGUGUAGCGGUGGAAUGCGCAGAUAUCAGGAGGAACACCGAUGGCGAAGGCAGAUCUCUGGGCCGUAACUGACGCUGAGGAGCGAAAGGGUGGGGAGCAAACAGGCUUAGAUACCCUGGUAGUCCACCCCGUAAACGUUGGGAACUAGUUGUGGGGACCAUUCCACGGUUUCCGUGACGCAGCUAACGC